AUAAGAAGAAGAAGAAGAAGAAGCAUGCCGUGUACCGUAAACAUAGAACCCAGUAUAAACCUAGUAGGCUAGAAUUGAAUAUGGGUUGUUGAGGAAGAAAGUUCACAUAAUUCAUUUUAGGGUUUGAAUGAAAGAACUCCAAUUCAAAGAGAAGGGAGGGGAAAGAGAAAGAGGGGAGAGAAAAAUCAACUCACCAUAACUGCAAUCAAGAUCAUCACCUUCCUUUUUUCUUUUUUAAUUUUACACUUAAUCCACUUGUCAAUAAGUUAUUGGCUUGCCAUACCAACCAGGAAUUCUAGUAGGUGCAGCGGGUUCACUAUAUAAUUUCUCGUCUCGAAGUUUUCAGUAGUGAAGGUUUUUUCUUCUUUUAUUUUUUGAUGAAUUUUCAUAUAUUAUUUAAAAAAAAAUAAUAUUUUUCAAAUAAAAUCAAAUCCUG
rnacentral:misc_RNA from 1 species